rnacentral:rRNA from 1 species
UACGGAGGGUGCGAGCGUUGUUCGGAAUCACUGGGCGUAAAGCGCGUGUAGGCGGCUUCUUAAGUCCGAUGUGAAAGCCCGGGGCUCACCCCCGGAAGUGCAUUGGAUACUGGGAAGCUGGAGUACCGGAGAGGAGGGUGGAAUUCCUGGUGUAGCGGUGAAAUGCGUAGAUAUCAGGAGGAACACCUGUGGCGAAGGCAGGUCUCUGGGCCACUACUGACGCUGAGAAGCGAAAGCAUGGGGAGCGAACAGG